rnacentral:rRNA from 1 species
UGCUCUUUCCGGAUGAGUUGCGAACGGGUGAGUAACGCGUAGGUAACCUGCCUGGUAGCGGGGGAUAACUAUUGGAAACGAUAGCUAAUACCGCAUAACAGUAGAUAUUGCAUGAUAUCUGCUUGAAAGGUGCAAUUGCAUCACUACCAGAUGGACCUGCGUUGUAUUAGCUAGUUGGUGAGGUAACGGCUCACCAAGGCGACGAUACAUAGCCGACCUGAGAGGGUGAUCGGCCACACUGGGACUGAGACACGGCCCAGACUCCUACGGGAGGCAGCAGUAGGGAAUCUUCGGCAAUGGACGGAAGUCUGACCGAGCAACGCCGCGUGAGUGAAGAAGGUUUUCGGAUCGUAAAGCUCUGUUGUAAGAGAAGAACGAGUGUGAGAGUGGAAAGUUCACACUGUGACGGUAUCUUACCAGAAAGGGACGGCCAACUACGUGCCAGCAGCCGCGGUAAUACGUAGGUCCCGAGCGUUAUCCGGAUUUAUUGGGCGUAAAGCGAGCGCAGGCGGUUAGAUAAGUCUGAAGUUAAAGGCUGUGGCUUAACCAUAGUACGCUUUGGAAACUGUUUAACUUGAGUGCAAGAGGGGAGAGUGGAAUUCCAUGUGUAGCGGUGAAAUGCGUAGAUAUAUGGAGGAACACCGGUGGCGAAAGCGGCUCUCUGGCUUG